rnacentral:rRNA from 1 species
UGGAGGAAAGCAGGGGAUCGUAAGACCUUGCGCUUUUGGAGCGGCCGAUGUCUGAUUAGCUAGUUGGUGGGGUAAUGGCCUACCAAAGCUUCGAUCAGUAGCUGGUCUGAGAGGACGGCCAGCCACACUGGGACUGAGACACGGCCCAGACUCCUACGGGAGGCAGCAGUGGGGAAUUUUGGACAAUGGGCGCAAGCCUGAUCCAGCCAUGCCGCGUGAGUGAAGAAGGCCUUCGGGUUGUAAAGCUCUUUCAGCCGGGAAGAAGAGGCUGCGACUAAUAAUCGCAGUUCAUGACGGUACCGGAAGAAGAAGCACCGGCUAACUACAUGCCAGCAGCCGCGGUAAUACGUAGGGUGCGGGCGUUAAUCGGAAUUACUGGGCGUAAAGGGUGCGCAGGCGGUUUUGUAAGUCAGAUGUGA